AAAACAUGUCUUUUUGAUAAUAAUUUAAAGUCUGAUCUGCUCCAUGAAAUUUUUAAAUAGCUGCAGAAUUCUGACUGUACAAAGGUAGCAUAAUCAAUAGUUUUUUAAUUUAAAGCUGGAAUGAAUGAUUUGAUAAGGUAAAUGUUGUCUCAAUUUUAAUAAUAAUAGAAUUUUUAUUUUAGUAAAAAUACUAAAAUAAAUUUAAAAGACGAGAAGACCCUAUAGAUUUUUAUAUUAAAAUUUAAAUAAAUUUAAAUUAAUUAAUAGUAUUUAAAUAAAUAAUAUUAGGUUGGGGAAAUUAUUAAAUUAAAUAAAUUUUAAAUAUUUGUAAAACAAUAAUUUUUGGUUAUUUGAUUAAAAUUAAAAUUAUUAGAUUAAAAUACCUUAGGGAUAACAGCGUUAUUUUUUUGGAGAGAUCAUAUUGAUAAAAAAGUUUGCGACCUCGAUGUUGAAUUAAGAUAAAAUUUUAAUGAAGAAAUUAAAAAUUUUUGGUCUGUUCGACCAUUAAAAUCUUACGUGA
rnacentral:rRNA from 1 species